GAUCACUCAAACACACGGUAAUCAGAUCUAUUACAUGCUUCUAGAAAUGUUUUCCUUAGUGUAAUUCCUUGAUCUUUUCUUAUUUGACAUUAUAAUCAAUCCUCUGUUUUUUGUUUUGGUAGAGCUUUGUCAUAGCGUAGAGGAUUUUCUUCACCAAUAGAUACUUUUUUAGUUGUUGGCCAUUGGAUUACAUGAAUGUUAUUGAUGUCGAGGGAGCAACCAAUUUUUAGUCGUAUAAUCUCAAAUCUGUCUAGAGAAUACGAGUUGUUGUGUUGUUCGGUAAAUAUAUCUUCACUUUGCUACUCCUUGAUGAGCAUCUAUCAUAUUCAAUUGCGACCUUUCUCAAUAAAUUAAUCAAUGUUUUCUUGUUCUCCGUGUCUUGUGCUUAAAUUUCUCAUGAGGUAUGUGGUAUGGUAUUGUCACAAAAUCUUUUGAUGCACAAGAAUAUAUCUACUGUGCUAUCUAGGAAAGUAUAGAUUGAAAUAUUAUUUCCUUUAAUUGUGUGGGAUUGGUUUAGAACAAUGUAACAUACACUUUGUCAUGAGAAUAGAGCUUUCUGCGUUGCAGAAUAUGUGUGCACAUUAUCAUCCAGUUGUUUAUUGUGCUUCUUGUUGAUUCUUUUUUUGGUUGACGUUUAGAGCAGCUUGUUAUUCGAUUUAUUUUGUCAUGUUACCAUAGGGGUAGUCUCUUUCUACUUCUCGGAAAUUAUCUUUCUGCUAAAUUAGCAGCUUCAUAGAUUCAAGUUUUGUUCUGUUCAUGUGCUCAUUGGUUCCUUCCUGUGCUGCAAUUAUACCCCUGCGGUAGUCUCUUUGAACCAAUGAACUAAUGGCCCCUAUUUAAACCAUGGUGAUGAGAUAGUUACUAAGAAUUUGACAGGUAGUCUAGGCUAUUAGUGGUCCUGGUGGUAGUAUUUAGUACCGGUAAGCCUAAACUUGUUGUUAUGUUGUUUUAAAUAUGACUGGUUGGUAUUGUGUGGUCCUGUUAUUUGAUUGAAGCAUGCCAGUGUAAUUUCCAUCCUAGUGCUGCAUUGUUUGUAUAUUUCCCGUGUCUACUACUACUUACAUGGAAGUAUCGUGCCUAGAAGUGAAUGUAUUACUUUAUAAAAUACCUAUCAGUAUGUAGUUACCGCUAUAGAGUUGUGUAUGUAUAGAGCUUGCUAUUGUAGUCUACAUUGUUCCACUUGACAACAUAUAUACUUUGUUUACAGUGAUCUGACCUUGUGUGCAUGGAAUUCUUUUGAAAGUGAUGAGUAACCCUGUCAAUGGGACUUGCUCUGUUUGUGGUACUUUUUCGAGAAGACACAAAGGACCUUUGCGUCUUAUUUCAUUGAAAAGAUAGGGUUUUUACAAGCCUCCUAGGAGGUGGGUUACAAGGAGUCUAAGAGAGUUCUAAUGGACGUCCCAUGUCGUCAGCAGGGCAUAUCGAAGGCCUAAGGCACCGGCUUUAGCCCAAAGGGAUGCUUCUUCCUUGAUCUUGAUCAUCAGGUUAUUGACAAAGGGGGGAGUGCCCUCAAACACACACUCAUUUUGGUGUUUCUAGAGCAUCCAAGGCAUUAGCAGUGCCAUCGACCCGAGACCCUUGCAGAGGUGUUUGGGCGUUGCAAGAUUUGCACUCGAUAGCCAGGUGAAGAUGGAUUCGUCGGUGCCCUGCGGCGUGCGGCAAGAUAGGUGCAGCCAGGCCAAAGCAUCAUACCAGAUUUUCUUGGUGAAUGGGCAUUUGAUGAGCAAGUGGCGCAUGGUUUUAGGCGCUUGGUCACAUAGUAGGCAUCGAGGAUGGUUUUGCAUGCCUCUUCUAGCAAGCCUGUAGGUUGUUUAACGGUGGUCUUGGAAGGCAAGCCAGUAGAGGAAUUUGAUGCGUGGGGGCGCCCAGGUCUUUCAGAUUUGUUCCCAAGCCAGGCAAGUCAUUGAGCCUUGGAAUGUGGCGAGGUGGGCGGAGCGAGCGGAGUAGCUGCCAUUAGAUGUCCAUUUCCCGAUUAGCUUGUGUGCGGGGCGCUGGUUGGCUGUGCACCCUCGAUUUUGUGACAGGGCAUCAGGUACUGUCCAAUCUCGCGCAGGCAAAGGACGUCGUGAACGUCGCGAGCCCAGUUGUGCCCGAGCAGGCCAUCUGUUUCUGGUACUAUUGGUGUCAAAAUGCAUGUUGUUAUUCAUCUGACGCACCUCAUGUUUGUGGCAAUUUUGAUUUGAGAUUAGGAAUAGACUUUUUACCUAUAAGGAGCUUUUUAAGUUCUCUACCUAUAUGUAAUGGAAAUCAGCUGUUAGCCUUUUAUUCAGUUUCUAUGUAGUCUGUUCCGUAAGUUUCUUGAUUCUCAAAUAUUAACUGACAAAUUGGGCAUUGCUAUAGUGUGAAGCUGAUCUGUACUAGAUCCAAUUGUCAAAGUUGGGUUGCCUUUUUGUGCUUCAACACAAUGCUGCAUAAGAUGAAUUCGAUCUGCAUAAUUGAUGCCUUUGUUGCUGCCCUAAAACUGUUGCCUAACUGUUGCCUUGGAAAUCGUUUCUAGUAAUAUCAAUUUCUUGUCUUAAUGGGAAUUUCAUACUCACUUGUACUUGUGAUAUAUUUCGGAGGUUAAUCUGUUUUUGUUUGUUGUCGUUAUGGACGAGCUGAGCUUCUUCAACCUGUGGUAGUCGCUGGAGUACAUGGAGCGGCAGUUGGGUGUUUUGGCAUUAGGGAAGGGGGGAGUUGUAGCUGAUACUGAUGCAGCAGCAGCAACACAGAAGAAGUGGUGUUGUAGCUCGCCUCUUCUUCGACUCCAUGGUUUAGGUUGUAACUCCUGAGAAAUGUCUGCUAAGUGGCACCUAUCUUUGCAUGAUGGUCUUGGAGUUUCCCUCCAGUAUGGUAGCUAGUUAAGUGAUGGACGGACGAGCCGCUGAGCCUUGUUCAACCAACCAAUGCUAGUCGAGGGUGACACUGGAGGGGUACACUGGGCAGCAACUCUUUCAUGGUGCCCCGUCGUGAAGGGAGAAGUGGAUCGGAGGUGGCUAGGAUGGAGGGAGCCAUGGCUGCUGGAUCCCUUUGGCCGGUUAGGUACUAGUGAGCUUUAGGUGGACUAAUACUGUGGGUCCUCGAUGCGUGGCCUGGAUCAUUUCAUCUUAGGUUAUCAGUGCUAGAUCAAUUGGCCUGAAGCAUCUAUCUUACGUUGCCAGUUAGAUUAUGCUAAUUGUUUUGCGGAUUGUGUUUGUCUCCAUAGGACAAACCACAUGGUCACAUUUUGUGUUUCACGGUGUUGAAUGGCAUGAGCUAAACUGUGGUUGAAUUCUAAAUUUAAAAUAGCACAAAAGUUGAG